AAGCAACACUGUGGCAGAUGAUAGACAUUGUCUGACACAAUUUGAGCUUGCUAUGGCAAGAAAGUCUAACCUGUUCCAGUGUUCUUCUCCAUGAGACCAACUGUUAUAUAGACUUUAACAGU
rnacentral:snoRNA from 1 species